UACGGGGGGAGCAAGCGUUGUUCGGAUUUACUGGGCGUAAAGGGCGCGUAGGCGGUCAGCACAAGUCAGUUGUGAAAUCUCCGGGCUUAACUCGGAAAGGUCAACUGAUACUGUGCGACUAGAGUGCAGAAGGGGCAACUGGAAUUCUCGGUGUAGCGGUGAAAUGCGUAGAUAUCGAGAGGAACACCUGCGGCGAAGGCGGGUUGCUGGGCUGACACUGACGCUCAUGUGCGAAAGCGUGGGGAGCAAACAGG
rnacentral:rRNA from 1 species